GCCCUGCUGGCUCAAUGGUAGAGCAUCAGACUUCUAUGUCGCUGUGUGUAAACCCGUUUGUCUACCAGUGCUAGUUAUCUGAAGGUUGUGGGUUCGAGUCCCACGUAGGGUG